AAGCAAUCCCAUAACCUGCUCAAGAUGUGCAGUGCUGCACAAAAAAUGUCGUCGAUUCAAGAGCUUCAGGAACAGUAUCAAAGGAACAUCAUCCGCAUUUACCAAAGAUUUUGAUGCAUCACCGCCACUCUCAAUUUUCUCCUUACCCUUAUCCAUCUUGCUUUCCAAAUAUUUUGGACCUAAAUGCUCUGGGACAAUUGAGGGAUCCAAGUAGACCAUCAUAUUUGCUAUAGAUGAAUGAUU
rnacentral:misc_RNA from 1 species